GAACCAUCCCAGAUUGUGUCACAGUAAACAAUUUUACCGGACACUAUCUCGGCGUUCAUGGCUCCAGUUAGGCAAUAACCAGCGAUUUCUGGAUUGGCACCGGCAGUGUAGUUCGCAGCUUCUCCUCCCCAUAUUAAUGGUGAAUAUUUGGCCAUUUCCAAGUUCCAUUCUGGCAACAAAUUUUCUGUCAAUGGUGCUGGCAGCAACUGUGAGACUCCAUGGAGAAUAGUUGGAAACUGUUACAGGGAAAGGACCCGAAUUUCCAGCUGAGUUUGAAGUAAGGAUUCCAUUCUUCAUGGCGUGGAAGGAUCCAAUCGCGAUAGAGUCAUCAAAAUAAUCAAGCGGCCAGUCUGAUCCCAACGAAACGGAGAUGACAUCAACUCCAUCUGCGAUUGCAUCAUCAAAGGCUUUAAGAAUAUCUGCAUCACUGCAACCAUCUGACCAGCAGACUUUGUACACUGCAAUUCUUGAACUGGGGACACCUCCUCGUGCUUUUCCCGCUGCUACACCGAAGUAGCUUGCAUCUACCUCAACCCCUGCAGCAGUUGAUGCUGUGUGUGUUCCAUGUCCUUCUGUGUCCCUUGCUGAGGGGACGUCUCCAUUAUAGUACUGGUCAUCACUGUGAUAGAACCGUGCUCCAAUGAUCUUGCUGCACUCAUAAUGUCAAGUGCCUGCGCAGGUUCCCUUCCAUUUAGUUGGUGGAGAACUGAAACCUGUGUCGUUGAAACUCGGAUGCUCUGGCCAGACUCCUAUGGAGAUGGACAGCAGAGGAAAGCAAGAAUUUCAGACAAAUAUUCCUCAUGAAAUAGAAACAACUUGUGAUGUUAGUUACCACUAACCAGUGUCAAGGAGGCCGAUAACAACAUCUGAUUCAGGUGCUGCUUGCAGCUUGUCUGUGGUUAACUCACCUGAAAUUCUGGUGGCUUCCUCGUCUGUGAGCUUGGCCGCAAAUCCAUUGAAACUUCUUCCAUAACUGUGGACCAGUGAGUCUUUGGCUGCUGAGGCACUGAAUCAUGAAACAGAGAUGUUUUCUAGUUAAAGAUGCUUGGAAGGAUCAAGUCUCCUCUCCACUAGUAAGGUCGAUCUCCCAUGUAGACUACAUGAAGCUGCAAAGAGAACAGCUACUCAGAGAGAGAGAGAGAGAGAGAUCGAGAGAGAGAUAGGGAGAGAGAAAGAGAGAGUUGAGGAAUUCGGCAUACCUUCCUUUCUAGGCAGUGGCAGUUGAGCACAAGGGCUGCAAGCAGCAAAGGAUAGAGAAGUGAAAAGAGGCCGGUUUUCGCCAUUUUGAUUAGACUCAGUUGGUUUGAUCUGGUGGUUUUAUCUUCUUAAGACUUGUGGUUUAUAUAGGAAUUGGUUCAAUGAUUGUUUCCUCCGUAUGGUUUGAUGAUCUUAACUGGCAAUGAAAUGCAGCAGGCUUCCUCUGCCUUGUUUUGACAUUGCCACCUGUAUUUUCAUAGUAUUCACAGAUUUCUUGUUGAAUAGAUUCUACAUUGUGCGAUGAUUUCUGGAUUUUCGUUAAUA